GGCUGAAAGCAAUGAUGUUGCCAUUCAUCCUUUCACGUAUUCAUUAUGGUCUACAGCUGAGAAGGGCUAUUUGGGGUUUGCUUUGCCUGAUGGUAGCAGAAGAAAACCAAGAGGCCUCUCUACGAAAGCUUGCAGUAAGGAGAAAGUUCUGGAGACUGGGAAGAGCAACACAAAGAUAUUCAGUUGCUUGGUGAGAGCUGCUCUCUGCUUCCAAGGCGGCACCUUGUUGCUGCAUUCUCCAAUGGGAAGGAACGCUGGGUCCUCACAUGACAGAAGGUGGAAAGGUAAGUGCACUGAAUGCUGCGUGAAGCCUCUUUUGUAAUCCCAUUCUUGUGUCCUCAUGACCCAAUCACCCCUUAAAUGCUUCACCUCUUAAUAUUAUCACAUUAGCAACCCUUGAGUUUUGAAGAAGACACAUUCAAACCAUAGCACUGCUACUAUUACUAGCUUGGUGCAAAAGUAACUGUGGUUUUUACCAUUGAAAGUAUCACAGAUGAUAAAUUCCUCUUCAAAAAGCUUUAGUUUCCUGUUCUUUGUUUUUCAAGACCAACUUCUUUGUACUUCCUUGUCUCCUAACUACCUGUUAAACAACACUUCUCGCCUUUGCUGUGCCCAGACAAGUCCAGACAUGCCUUCCCGCCCAGUAACGGGCAGCCUCUACCUUCCCACCUAAUUGACCCUAUUCAAUUUUAAACCUUAGCCAAUCAGGUUAGCUUAGAUUGUGCAGUCCAACCCCAGUCAAUGGGGAAAAGACACAGCAGUAAGAACCAAUUGCGUUACAAAUAAAAACCCCUGCCCCA
ensembl:lncRNA LINC01435 long intergenic non-protein coding RNA 1435